GUCCCAAACCUGUUCAUGCCUGCCGACGGGCCUCCCUGUUUAGGAGGUUCCCGGGGGGACCCUCCGUCCUGAGCCCCCGGACCCCUAGGCCCCGACCGCCUCGCGCCUUCAGCCGGCCGCUUCCGAGUCCUGCUCAACUGGGAUCGAACCUGGACCUCGGAGCCUUGUCCGGGAGAGCCUGUGCGGACUGUGUGGCCCCCAGCGCCGCCGUCGUCGGCAUUAUUACUAUCAUAAAUAUCAUUACUAUUAUUAUUACUA